GAUGAACGCUGGCGGCGUGCCUAAUACAUGCAAGUCGAGCGAACAGACGAGGAGCUUGCUCCUCUGACGUUAGCGGCGGACGGGUGAGUAACACGUGGAUAACCUACCUAUAAGACUGGGAUAACUUCGGGAAACCGGAGCUAAUACCGGAUAAUAUAUUGAACCGCAUGGUUCAAUAGUGAAAGACGGUUUUGCUGUCACUUAUAGAUGGAUCCGCGCCGCAUUAGCUAGUUGGUAAGGUAACGGCUUACCAAGGCAACGAUGUGUAGCCGACCUGAGAGGGUGAUCGGCCACACUGGAACUGAGACACGGUCCAGACUCCUACGGGAGGCAGCAGUAGGGAAUCUUCCGCAAUGGGCGAAAGCCUGACGGAGCAACGCCGCGUGAGUGAUGAAGGUCUUCGGAUCGUAAAACUCUGUUAUUAGGGAAGAACAAAUGUGUAUGUAACUAUGCACGUCUUGACGGUACCUAAUCAGAAAGCCACGGCUAACUACGUG
rnacentral:rRNA from 1 species